rnacentral:rRNA from 1 species
AGCGAACGCUGGCGGCAGGCCUAACACAUGCAAGUCGAACGAACCCUUCGGGGUUAGUGGCGGACAGGUGAGUAACACGUGGGAACGUGCCUUUAGGUUCGGAAUAACUCAGGGAAACUUGUGCUAAUACCGAAUGUGCCCUUCGGGGGAAAGAUUUAUCGCCUUUAGAGCGGCCCGCGUCUGAUUAGCAAGUUGGUGAGGUAAAGGCUCACCAAGGCUACGAUCAGUAGCUGGUCUGAGAGGAUGACCAGCCACAUUGGGACUGAGACACGGCCCAAACUCCUACGGGAGGCAGCAGUGGGGAAUCUUGCGCAAUGGGCGAAAGCCUGACGCAGCCAUGCCGCGUGGAUGAUGAAGGUCUUAGGAUUGUAAAAUCCUUUCACCGGUGAAGAUAAUGACUGUAGCCGGAGAAGAAGCCCCGGCUAACUUCGUGCCAGCAGCCGCCGUAAAAC